rnacentral:pre_miRNA from 1 species
AGGCUUUGACUGGUGGCAAUUUUUCAUCUAUGCCUCGAAAUAUGGCAGAAAUAUUGCACUCGUCCCGGCCUGU